ACCCGCACAAGCAGCGGAGCGUGUGGUUUAAUUCGUUGCUACACGAAGAACCUUACCUGGGUUUGACAUAUAGGUUGUAGGGAACUGAAAAGGGACCGACCCUUCGGGGAGCCUAUACAGGUGUUGCAUGGCUGUCGUCAGCUCGUGUCGUGAGAUGUUCGGUUAAGUCCGCUAACGAGCGCAACCCUCGUCGUAUGUUAUAUGUGUCAUACGAGACUGCCGGUAAAAGCCGGAGGAAGGUGAGGAUGAUGUCAAGUCAGCAUGACCUUUAUAUCCAGGGCUACACACACGCUACAAUGGUCUGUACAAUGGGUAGCUAAGCCGCGAGGCGGAGCCAAUCCUGAAAGCAGGCCUCAGUUCAGAUUGCAGUCUGCAACUCGACUGCAUGAAGCCGGAGUUGCUAGUAACCGCAGGUCAGCAAUACUGCGGUGAAUACGUUCCCGGGUCUU
rnacentral:rRNA from 1 species